rnacentral:rRNA from 1 species
GUCUAUGGCCAUACACCCCUGAACACGUCUGAGCUCAUCUGAUCUCAGAAGCUAAGCAGGGUUGGGACUUGUUAGGACUUGUUUGGACUUGGAUGGGAGAAUUUGCCUUUGUUA